CGGCGGACGGGUGAGUAACACGUGGAUAACCUACCUAUAAGACUGGGAUAACUUCGGGAAACCGGAGCUAAUACCGGAUAAUAUAUUGAACCGCAUGGUUCAAUGGUGAAAGACGGUUUUGCUGUCACUUAUAGAUGGAUCCGCGCCGCAUUAGCUAGUUGGUAAGGUAACGGCUUACCAAGGCAACGAUGCGUAGCCGACCUGAGAGGGUGAUCGGCCACACUGGAACUGAGACACGGUCCAGACUCCUACGGGAGGCAGCAG
rnacentral:rRNA from 1 species